UACGUAGGGUGCAAGCGUUAAUCGGAAUUACUGGGCGUAAAGCGUGCGCAGGCGGCUUUGCAAGACAGAUGUGAAAUCCCCGGGCUCAACCUGGGAACUGCAUUUGUGACUGCAUGGCUAGAGUGCGGCAGAGGGGGAUGGAAUUCCGCGUGUAGCAGUGAAAUGCGUAGAUAUGCGGAGGAACACCGGUGGCGAAGGCAAUCCCCUGGGCCUGCACUGACGCUCAUGCACGAAAGCGUGGGGAGCAAACAGG
rnacentral:rRNA from 1 species